GUUAGAGAAUCCGGCUUAUUGAACUUAGCCAAAUAUUCCUACAAGCACAUUGACCGGGUUUUGGUUUCUGCCUUUAUCGAGCGAUGGCAUCCUGAAACAAACUCUUUCCACCUUCCAUUUGGGGAAAUGACCAUUACAUUGGAUGAUGUGCGGCAUAUCUUGGACAUCCCGGUGGAUGGUGUGCCCGUGUAUGGGGAACUUGGAGCAUCUAACAUGGC
rnacentral:misc_RNA from 1 species